GGGCGCGUAGUUCAGCGGUUAGAAUGUCCGCCUUACACGCGGAAGGUCCCUGGUUCGAAUCCAGGCGCGCCCA
rnacentral:tRNA from 1 species